ACGGGUGAGUAAUAUAUCGGAACGUGCCCAGUAGUGGGGGAUAGCCCGGCGAAAGCCGGAUUAAUACCGCAUACGACCUACGGGUGAAAGCGGGGGAUCGCAAGACCUCGCGCUAUUGGAGCGGCCGAUAUCAGAUUAGCUAGUUGGUAGGGUAAAAGCCUACCAAGGCGACGAUCUGUAGCUGGUCUGAGAGGACGACCAGCCACACUGGGACUGAGACACGGCCCAGACUCCUACGGGAGGCAGCAGUGGGGAAUUUUGGACAAUGGACGCAAGUCUGAUCCAGCCAUGCCGCGUGCGGGAAGAAGGCCUUCGGGUUGUAAACCGCUUUUGUCAGGGAAGAAAAGCUUCGAGCUAAUAUCUUGGAGUGAUGACGGUACCUGAAGAAUAAGCACCGGCUAACUACGUGCCAGCAGCCGCGGUAAUACGUAGGGUGCAAGCGUUAAUCGGAAUUACUGGGCGUAAAGCGUGCGCAGGCGGUUCUAUAAGACAGAUGUGAAAUCCCCGGGCUCAACCUGGGAACUGCAUUUGUGACUGUAGAGCUGGAGUACGGCAGAGGGGGAUGGAAUUCCGCGUGUAGCAGUGAAAUGCGU
rnacentral:rRNA from 1 species